CGGGAACCGCUACGCCAGGGGGCCCCGGCGAGAGACGGGAGCUGCCGGCCUGGGCCUCCGCCUCAUCCUGACAGCGGCCGCCGCCGGCGGGAGGAGGAGGAGGAGCGCCGCGCAGGCGCCCACGGUUUUUACCAGUAAAAAAGUAGAUUUACAUCCUUUGGGUGCAUGUGAAAUCACAGAAAGCGGUGUUGGAGUGGACAGGUGAAGCCCAGGGACGCAGAAGUUGCAUGCAUCUUUAAGGAGGGACUCAGCUGCUCCCAACAGCAAGCCUUGGGUUCAU